GGCCUACGGGGGGCAGCAGUGGGGAAUAUUGCACAAUGGGCGCAAGCCUGAUGCAGCGACGCCGCGUGGAGGAUGAAGGUUUUCGGAUUGUAAACUCCUUUUGUUAGAGAAGAUAAUGACGGUAUCUAACGAAUAAGCACCGGCUAACUCCGUGCCAGCAGCCGCGGUAAUACGGAGGGUGCAAGCGUUACUCGGAAUCACUGGGCGUAAAGAGCGCGUAGGCGGGAUAGCAAGUCAGAUGUGAAAUCCUAUGGCUUAACCAUAGAACUGCAUUUGAAACUGUUAUUCUAGAGUAUGGGAGAGGG
rnacentral:rRNA from 1 species